rnacentral:lncRNA from 1 species
CUCUCCUUCUUUCUUCGUACUCUGUAGAGCGAACCGGUUUCUCUUCUUCUUCUCCCUGGAUCUCUAAACCUAUCUAAUUUUUUUUAAUUUUUCUUAAGUUUUUACUAAUUUUUUCUUCUCCUAAGAUUUAUUUUCGGAUCUCCUACUUAUAGAUAAAUUUUUCACCUUUUUAUGAUCACAAAAGGAGUCCUAAAAUCUUUAGAAAUCGUAUUAUACUCAUAUAAAUUAAUUCUAACCAUUAGAUCUUCAAUGGACCGCCC